UGCAAUUUAGAGAAAAUUGCAACUUUUGGCCCAAAGGUUUGAAUAAUUAAAUUCAAACCUAUAGUUUUUUUUUAAUAUAAUUUUGGGACUCACAAUCCCAUUUUUAUAUUAUUUUUCUCUCUUCCUCUCACGUUGCUCGGCGUUUUCUCGCAAGGGGGGAUUAUUUUCUUUUUCUUCAGAUUAUAUUGACAAAGAUAGUGGUGAAAAAGGAGUUGUGAAGGGGAACUUGUUAUUCAAGACACAAGGAGCGAGUCCGAC